rnacentral:rRNA from 1 species
GACGAACGCUGGCGGCGUGCUUAACACAUGCAAGUCGAACGGAAAGGCCCUGCUUUUGUGGGGUGCUCGAGUGGCGAACGGGUGAGUAACACGUGAGUAACCUGCCCUUGACUUUGGGAUAACUUCAGGAAACUGGGGCUAAUACCGGAUAGGAGCUCCUGCUGCAUGGUGGGGGUUGGAAAGUUUCGGCGGUUGGGGAUGGACUCGCGGCUUAUCAGCUUGUUGGUGGGGUAGUGGCUUACCAAGGCUUUGACGGGUAGCCGGCCUGAGAGGGUGACCGGCCACAUUGGUACUGAGAUUCGGCCCAGACUCCUACGGGAGGCAGCAGUGGGGAAUAUUGCACAAUGGGCGGAAGCCUGAUGCAGCGACGCCGCGUGCGGGAUGACGGCCUUCGGGUUGUAAACCGCUUUCGCCUGUGACGAAGCGUGAGUGACGGUAAUGGGUAAAGAAGCACCGGCUAACUACGUG